rnacentral:rRNA from 1 species
UACGAAGGGGGCUAGCGUUGUUCGGAAUUACUGGGCGUAAAGCGCGCGCAGGCGGCUAUCCAAGUCAGUGGUGAAAGCCCGGAGCUCAACUCCGGAACUGCCAUUGAAGCUGUUUAGCUUGAGUGCAGAAGAGGAGAGUGGAAUUCCACGUGUAGCGGUGAAAUGCGUAGAGAUGUGGAGGAACACCAGUGGCGAAAGCGGCUCUCUGGUCUGUAACUGACGCUGAGGCGCGAAAGCGUGGGGAGCAAACAGG